GCCUCAUUUCCAUAGACAAACACUUUGCAUGAACAGCUGCAUGGUCCAGUGGGACACUUUAUAGUCCUGAGAGGUGCACUCUGGAGCACUGGCAGCUGUCCUUCAUGACAACACAAGCCACAUACGGCCUCCUCAUCACCAACAUGACUUUGGUGUGCGUCCUCAUGUGGACUGUCCUCUGCUGCUGCUUCACAGAGUCCAGAGGACAGGUGACAGUGAGUCAGGCUGGAGCAGUGAGGGCCGCCCUGGGGGACACCGUCAACAUAGACUGUAAUCUCAGUCAGGAUCUGUACAAGUUUAAGGGAGACAUCUACGUUCUGUCCUGGUACCAACACAGAGAUGGAGAGCCUCCUAAAGCUCUUAUAUAUAGAAUUUCUAAUCGAACCUCAGGUGUCCCCAGUCGUUUUUCAGGCAGUGGUUCUGGGUCUCACUUCACUCUGACCAUCAGUGGAGUUCAGCCUGAAGACUCUGCUGUGUAUUACUGUCAGAGUGUUCACUACAUCAACAGUCAGAAUGUGUUCACACAGUGAAAAAGACUCGUACAAAAA